CAGAGUUCCUCCUUUCCUAUCUGAACUUGUAAACCAUUGCAACGCUGCGUGCGAGAGAAAGUGAAUCUGUGAUCCGCCCGUACCUCAGGUGUGUGCAGUCCCUCGCUCGGGAGGCAGCGCGCGCAGGUCCCGCGCCAUCCACGGCUAGAUCGACCUCCGCGGCAUGGCCCAUGAUCGUGGUGUUGUGUGAAUCUGCUGCAUGCUGCUACUGUACGUUUAGUUGCUGUCGUAGGCACGGACCAUUGAUGUCGUGCGCCCGUUUAUGACCGUCGCCGCCAACCUGCAGAGCCAUUGUCAGGGUUCGCCUGAGGCCUGGGCAUUGCUUGAGUUGAUGUCUUGCCUCAGAUCUGGAGCUCUGGUGGUGCGAUGAGAUCUUUGCCCGCAACGUGUUUGAUAAAAUGCGCCUGCGGUUUGUGCUAGAAGAAUGCGCAUGGCAUGAUGGCAUGCCAUUGCGCCAAGCUCUCUUGCCACUUUGGCAGAGAUGUUUGGUGCACGUGAUGGGGUCAACAGGAGGACGGAACACCGCUUGCUCUUAUAGAGCUGGAGUAGUAUGCAGAAUCUAUAUGAUCUCAUGGACCUGAGUACCUGAUCAUUUGUCUCAAAUGGGUAAAUAAUGUUUAUGGUGCACUUACGAAUGGAAGGCGGCGUGAGUCAAGGAGCUGGUGGAUGUGAUCUACCAUAUGCCGAUGGAUAUUUUGAAGGGAAGAUGGGGUUUUGUGCUGUCAGACGGCGAGGAUUGCAAAGUUGAAGACAUGCUCUGGUUGUUGGUGCUGCAUUUUGCAUGACCAUUCUUGCAGAGCAGUCUACACACACCGAUGAGCAAUCGACUGAUUGAGCAUAAUUUGAAAGGUUUUGUUUGUUGGAAGACCUUGCAUUCUUUGUGGGCACGUGGGGUGCUGCACUUUGUGACUGUACUAGAGAUUUCAAGCGUGACUUUUGCAUCUGAACUGGACUAUUUCAUUGCCCAUUUGUGAUCCAUCUCCAACUAGACAUGUCUGUCCACCAAGGUAACGAACAUGAUUUCUCUUAUAAUUUUGCUUGUUUCAGGAAUGCCUACUGAUAUUACUGUAUAACUAGUAAUUUCCACGUGCAAAGGCAUGUUAAAUAUGUAUGACUAAGUAGAAAUGUUUGUUUAAAACUCACCUACAAUCUGCAAGCCCUGUUAAUCACAAUCACCAGGGGUGUGGAUAUGCUUAAAUAAAGGGGAUACUUUUUAGAUGUUUUCAGUUUCCAAUAUCAACAUGUGUGUUGCCUUUCUAACCAGAAUCGCACCAUAUUUUUUCCUUCAAAAUGCAGAGCGUGAUAUAUUUCCUUGUCCUGUUCACGUACCAUUAUUAUUGGUUUUGCCAGAUGUAAGUAAAGGAGAAUGUACAGCGGAUAUCUUUCAAAGCGUUAAUUUUGUACGUAUGUAGAGUUUUCAAAUGAUGGAUUAUUGUUUCACACUGACUCAACUGAAGGCUUACUGAUAAAUGCUUGAAGCUCUAAGUAUAAUCCUUUAUGCUCUAUUGGAUAUGAAAUUCAGACACGCUGAGAGUGAUCAAAAUCUAGCAUAAACAGAAGAUAAAGCAAACUGUUUCCAUUAUAUUUCUAUUGAUUGAACAGUGAAAAAGCUAAAUGAGAAACUUCUUGCAUAAAGUUAUAGUGUUAACAAUACUGCAACUCCCACAGCAUUCAUUCUGAGCUUUUGAUACUACUCUGUCAUUUUGAGGGAGACUGCUUAUCUACAAUCAUGCGUAGACAGCUUUGGAUCGAGAGCGUUAAGUUCAAACCAGAUAGAAAACUAGAAUGCUCACAAGAUAAAUUACCACGAGGUGCUGCAAGGUCUCACCCAACAACUUCUUGCAAAGUUGCAGUUACAAAGACCAGGCUUUGUUUGGAGGGAGCAUAGAUGGGUUGCGAAUGCAAGUGAAUACCAUUGCCAACAGUAAUGCAGCGAACUUUGGGAUCCUAGCAUGACGGUAGCAUCAGGUAAUUCAGUAAAGUGCGCUAUUAUCAGCAAAUUGCCAGGGAGAAUCACAUGGAACGAUGCACAAAUCUGUGAACUAUUGUUCCUGCAACAACGAUGUGAUAUGCAGAGUAUAUCGAUGCCACUAUUGAUUCAACAGAACCACAUAGCUCUGCCUUAUAUUUGACCACAGUUGAGCCCAUCUACGCAUAGUUGCAGACAAAGAGUGAAUGGAAAUUCUGGAUUAUCACUUCAGAUAUUUUCAUCUGCUGAAAAAGGCUUUACUAGGAGAGUUCAGUCAACCUGCUAUUCAGAAACGCGAGCUAUCAGUGCGAUCUUUUUGCUCUUAUCUAUUCCAAUGGGACAAAAGAAGUCAUGGAACUAUGCAAACUUUAGAAAAAGAUGGAGCUGCCAAUUGUAUGAAAACGGCCCUUUUUUUUCCAUUUCACUAGCCACUGUACUCUCUGUAGGCCUCAGAGAUAGUUCGCUUACUUGAACAUUCUUCUCAUAGCAAGCAAAUUUGCCAAAAAGAAAGCUAAACGCCGAUGAUAAAUACAAAACGGCAUUUGCUCUUUUGGAUUUAGGUUACCAAAUAUCAGGUACACUAUGGACAAUGCAUGUUUCUUCCUAAAAAUUUGUACAUGUCAGUGUCAUAGUAGAGAUCGGUGUGUGGUCCAA